CGGUUAAGUUAGAAAGGGCGCACGGUGGAUGCCUUGGCACUAGGAGCCGAUGAAGGACGGGACGAACACCGAUAUGCUUCGGGGAGCUGUAAGCAAGCUUUGAUCCGGAGAUUUCCGAAUGGGGAAACCCACCACUCGUAAUGGAGUGGUAUCCAUAUCUGAAUACAUAGGAUAUGAGAAGGCAGACCCGGGGAACUGAAACAUCUAAGUACCCGGAGGAAGAGAAAGCAAAUGCGAUUCCCUGAGUAGCGGCGAGCGAAACGGGACCAGCCCAAACCAAGAGGCUUGCCUCUUGGGGUUGUAGGACACUCUGUACGGAGUUACAAAGGAACGAGGUAGAUGAAGAGGUCUGGAAAGGCCCGCCAUAGAAGGUAACAGCCCUGUAGUCAAAACUUCGUUCUCUCCUGAGUGGAUCCUGAGUACGGCGGAACACGUGAAAUUCCGUCGGAAUCCGGGAGGACCAUCUCCCAAGGCUAAAUACUCCCUAGUGACCGAUAGUGAACCAGUACCGUGAGGGAAAGGUGAAAAGCACCCCGGAAGGGAGUGAAAGAGAUCCUGAAACCGUGUGCCUACAAGUAGUCAGAGCCCGUUAACGGGUGAUGGCGUGCCUUUUGUAGAAUGAACCGGCGAGUUACGAUCCCGUGCAAGGUUAAGCAGAAGAUGCGGAGCCGCAGCGAAAGCGAGUCUGAAUAGGGCGAAUUGAGUACGUGGUCGUAGACCCGAAACCAGGUGAUCUACCCAUGUCCAGGGUGAAGUUCAGGUAACACUGAAUGGAGGCCCGAACCCACGCACGUUGAAAAGUGCGGGGAUGAGGUGUGGGUAGGGGUGAAAUGCCAAUCGAACCUGGAGAUAGCUGGUUCUCUCCGAAAUAGCUUUAGGGCUAGCCUCAAGGUAAGAGUCUCGGAGGUAGAGCACUGAUUGGACUAGGGGCCCCUACCGGGUUACCGAAUUCAGUCAAACUCCGAAUGCCGAUGACUUAUCCUUGGGAGUCAGACUGCGAGUGAUAAGAUCCGUAGUCGAAAGGGAAACAGCCCAGACCGCCAGCUAAGGUCCCAAAGUAUACGUUAAGUGGAAAAGGAUGUGGAGUUGCUUAGACAACCAGGAUGUUGGCUUAGAAGCAGCCACCAUUUAAAGAGUGCGUAAUAGCUCACUGGUCGAGUGACUCUGCGCCGAAAAUGUACCGGGGCUAAACGUAUCACCGAAGCUGCGGACUGUUCUUCGAACAGUGGUAGGAGAGCGUUCUAAGGGCUGUGAAGCAAGACCGGAAGGACUUGUGGAGCGCUUAGAAGUGAGAAUGCCGGUAUGAGUAGCGAAAGAGGGGUGAGAAUCCCCUCCACCGAAUGCCUAAGGUUUCCUGAGGAAGGCUCGUCCGCUCAGGGUUAGUCGGGACCUAAGCCGAGGCCGAAAGGCGUAGGCGAUGGAUAACAGGUUGAUAUUCCUGUACCACCUCCUCACCAUUUGAGCAAUGGGGGACGCAGGAGGAUAGGGUAAGCGCGGUAUUGGAUAUCCGCGUCCAAGCAGUUAGGCUGGGAAAUAGGCAAAUCCGUUUCCCGUGAAGGCUGAGCUGUGAUGGCGAGCGAAUUAUAGUAGCGAAGUUCCUGAUUCCACACUGCCAAGAAAAGCCUCUAGCGAGGUGAGAGGUGCCCGUACCGCAAACCGACACAGGUAGGCGAGGAGAGAAUCCUAAGGUGAUCGAGAGAACUCUCGUUAAGGAACUCGGCAAAAUGACCCCGUAACUUCGGGAGAAGGGGUGCUCUGUUAGGGUGCAAGCCCGAGAGAGCCGCAGUGAAUAGGCCCAGGCGACUGUUUAGCAAAAACACAGGUCUCUGCGAAGCCGUAAGGCGAAGUAUAGGGGCUGACGCCUGCCCGGUGCUGGAAGGUUAAGAGGAGCGCUUAGCGUAAGCGAAGGUGCGAAUUGAAGCCCCAGUAAACGGCGGCCGUAACUAUAACGGUCCUAAGGUAGCGAAAUUCCUUGUCGGGUAAGUUCCGACCCGCACGAAAGGCGCAACGAUCUGGGCACUGUCUCAACGAGAGACUCGGUGAAAUUAUAGUACCUGUGAAGAUGCAGGUUACCCGCGACAGGACGGAAAGACCCCGUGGAGCUUUACUGCAGCCUGAUAUUGAAUGUUGGUACAGCUUGUACAGGAUAGGUAGGAGCCUUGGAAACCGGAGCGCCAGCUUCGGUGGAGGCAUCGGUGGGAUACUACCCUGGCUGUAUUGACCUUCUAACCCGCCGCCCUUAUCGGGCGGGGAGACAGUGUCAGGUGGGCAGUUUGACUGGGGCGGUCGCCUCCUAAAAGGUAACGGAGGCGCCCAAAGGUUCCCUCAGAAUGGUUGGAAAUCAUUCGCAGAGUGUAAAGGCACAAGGGAGCUUGACUGCGAGACCUACAAGUCGAGCAGGGACGAAAGUCGGGCUUAGUGAUCCGGUGGUUCCGCAUGGAAGGGCCAUCGCUCAACGGAUAAAAGCUACCCCGGGGAUAACAGGCUUAUCUCCCCCAAGAGUCCACAUCGACGGGGAGGUUUGGCACCUCGAUGUCGGCUCAUCGCAUCCUGGGGCUGUAGUCGGUCCCAAGGGUUGGGCUGUUCGCCCAUUAAAGCGGUACGCGAGCUGGGUUCAGAACGUCGUGAGACAGUUCGGUCCCUAUCCGUCGCGGGCGCAGGAAAUUUGAGAGGAGCUGUCCUUAGUACGAGAGGACCGGGAUGGACGCACCGCUGGUGUACCAGUUGUUCUGCCAAGGGCAUCGCUGGGUAGCUAUGUGCGGACGGGAUAAGUGCUGAAAGCAUCUAAGCAUGAAGCCCCCCUCAAGAUGAGAUUUCCCAUUCCGCAAGGAAGUAAGAUCCCUGAAAGAUGAUCAGGUUGAUAGGUCUGAGGUGGAAGUGUGGCGACACAUGGAGCUGACAGAUACUAAUCGAUCGAGGACUUAACCAAUUU
rnacentral:rRNA from 1 species